UUGUUCCUACAAUAAAGUCCGUGGUUGUGAUGCUCACAGUGUAUGAGACCUAAUGUCCUACCAUGCUGUCCCCUAUUUCUAUUCAAGAGUCAUACCAAAUGCUAAGUUAUACUUUCUUCAAUAAAAGAAAAAGAAAAAGAUUUAAAUAACACUGCCCCCGUGCCCCUCAAUUCUCUUGGUUUUCUGAAAUCAGAAUGAAUCAACAUAACCAAUAAGGAACCUGCUAGAAACUUGUAUCCCAGAGUCGAAGUAUCUGGAAAGACUAAUCCAUUUCUGAUUUUUUUUUUUUAAAGCUAUGAAGCCGCAGCCCUGUUUACAUUCCAGUGAAGUAGUUUAGUAAUUUAUAGCUAAUUUGUCAAUGGGCAUGCAGCUGUAGGCUGUGCAGUUUGAAAACAAAAAAAGAAUAUACCUCUCCCUUCAUGUUUACAUAGGCUCUGAAAGCCUGGUGUAGCGCAGGAUGCGAGCCCCCAGAGUCAUUAGGAAGGUCCACCAGCCUCUGAGGGUGGAGGGAUGUUUGCAUUAUAACCCAACACAUCAUUAAGGACACAAUUGUUAUUUAAUGUGGCACAAUCAUCUUUCUACCCUUCGUGAAAUGCACUUAAUUCUAUUUUGUGCUGAUUUCUCCUUCCUCAAAUCCCCUCUAUAUCCUCCCAGAAGGACCACAGCUACUGUUGGUGAGGAUGGCAGUACCCGGAGCCAAUGCAGACACCAUUCAUCCAUCUGCAGGCACCGCAGGGGCCAGCGGCCAGACCACCACUUCCCAGUCCCGGAGGCUGUGGCAUCUAUAAAUAACAUUGUAGCACUACAUAAGGUGAGAGAAACCAGUUCUCCACAGAGUGUGCAAUGAAGAAUUUUGAAUUAAAAGGGGUUUAAAUGGUAGUUUGGUUUCAAUAGUAAAAUUAAAAAGAAGAUCAAACAGAUGUUGCUCUGAUAGCUGGAUUCCUAAGGAAAUCAACUAUAGAUUUCAUAAAGUACUGAUUACUGGGCUACAUAAUCAGCAUGAUUUUGCCAGUAUCUAAAAGCCAUUAGGAAAGGCGAGAGGUAUCAAACACACUGUAUCCAGUGUGUGCUGCUGUCUCCCCUGAAAUCUCCACGCAGAUCAUUCUGUAUAACUUAAUUAGCGAAGUUAAAAUUAAGAUGAGACUCCAGUGUGUUUAGGCGAAACAAUUUCUGUGAGAGGAUACUUCAUUAAAACAUUUAAUAAUGCAACAACUUCUGCUUAUCAAACAGCUUGCUGAAAGAAAAAAAUAUUUUUUUGCCAAUUAAUAAAA
rnacentral:lncRNA from 1 species